rnacentral:lncRNA from 1 species
CGUCAAUUUGUACAUAUAAACAAAGUCCAGUAUUAUCUAUCCUCACUAAAAUAAUGUAUUAUUAAGAAAUUGCUCUAACCAACUUCAGUUUAACCACAUAAUUGGCGAUGGACACCAAAUAUUUCUUCUAGCAGUCUAUCUGAAGCCAAUUCUGUACCUUCAUCUUUAAUUGACGAACAUGCUAAAGAAACAUUCUAUGAUGCUCAUGAAAGUUAUCAUGCCUUACUUGAAAAACAAGCCAGCAAUCCGGUAGCAACUGCAGUGCUGUUGCAAGCUCGAUCAGAGCAUAGGCCUGAUUUUAAGAUCACACAGGAGCAAGCAGCGCCAACACAAGCUGCAUCUGCUACGAAACAGCCUUCCAUUAUUUCGAAACCUGUUACAAGACCGGAUUAAGCUGAAUUAUAAAAAGGCACAAUAAAAACUUUUAUCAAAUAACAUCGACGAGAAUCUCAAUCUACUCGUAGAUAAUAAAAAAUAAUCAAAAAUAAAGCAAAG